AUUGAACGCUGGCGGCAGGCCUAACACAUGCAAGUCGAGCGGUAGCACAGAGAGCUUGCUCUCGGGUGACGAGCGGCGGACGGGUGAGUAAUGUCUGGGAAACUGCCUGAUGGAGGGGGAUAACUACUGGAAACGGUAGCUAAUACCGCAUAACGUCGCAAGACCAAAGUGGGGGACCUUCGGGCCUCAUGCCAUCAGAUGUGCCCAGAUGGGAUUAGCUNGUAGGUGGGGUAACGGCUCACCUAGGCGACGAUCCCUAGCUGGUCUGAGAGGAUGACCAGCCACACUGGAACUGAGACACGGUCCAGACUCCUACGGGAGGCAGCAGUGGGGAAUAUUGCACAAUGGGCGCAAGCCUGAUGCAGCCAUGCCGCGUGUGUGAAGAAGGCCUUCGGGUUGUAAAGCACUUUCAGCGGGGAGGAAGGCGGUGAGGUUAAUAACCUCNNCGAUUGACGUUACCCGCAGAAGAAGCACCGGCUAACUCCGUGCCAGCAGCCGCGGUAAUACGGAGGGUGCAAGCGUUAAUCGGAAUUACUGGGCGUAAAGCGCACGCAGGCGGUCUGUCAAGUCGGAUGUGAAAUCCCCGGGCUCAACCUGGGAACUGCAUUCGAAACUGGCAGGCUAGAGUCUUGUAGAGGGGGGUAGAAUUCCAGGUGUAGCGGUGAAAUGCGUAGAGAUCUGGAGGAAUACCGGUGGCGAAGGCGGCCCCCUGGACAAAGACUGACGCUCAGGUGCGAAAGCGUGGGGAGCAAACAGGAUUAGAUACCCUGGUAGUCCACGCUGUAAACGAUGUCGAUUUGGAGGUUGUGCCCUUGAGGCGUGGCUUCCGGAGCUAACGCGUUAAAUCGACCGCCUGGGGAGUACGGCCGCAAGGUUAAAACUCAAAUGAAUUGACGGGGGCCCGCACAAGCGGUGGAGCAUGUGGUUUAAUUCGAUGCAACGCGAAGAACCUUACCUGGUCUUGACAUCCACAGAACUUUCCAGAGAUGGAUUGGUGCCUUCGGGAACUGUGAGACAGGUGCUGCAUGGCUGUCGUCAGCUCGUGUUGUGAAAUGUUGGGUUAAGUCCCGCAACGAGCGCAACCCUUAUCCUUUGUUGCCAGCGGUNNGGCCGGGAACUCAAAGGAGACUGCCAGUGAUAAACUGGAGGAAGGUGGGGAUGACGUCAAGUCAUCAUGGCCCUUACGACCAGGGCUACACACGUGCUACAAUGGCAUAUACAAAGAGAAGCGACCUCGCGAGAGCAAGCGGACCUCAUAAAGUAUGUCGUAGUCCGGAUUGGAGUCUGCAACUCGACUCCAUGAAGUCGGAAUCGCUAGUAAUCGUAGAUCAGAAUGCUACGGUGAAUACGUUCCCGGGCCUUGUACACACCGCCCGUCACACCAUGGGAGUGGGUUGCAAAAGAAGUAGGUAGCUUAACCUUCGGGAGGGCGCUUACCACUUUGUGAUUCAUGACUGGGGUGAAGU
rnacentral:rRNA from 1 species